rnacentral:rRNA from 1 species
CAUAGGUUAAUGAGGCGAACCGGGGGAACUGAAACAUCUAAGUACCCCGAGGAAAAGAAAUCAACCGAGAUUCCCCCAGUAGCGGCGAGCGAACGGGGAGCAGCCCAGAGCCUGAAUCAGUGUGUGUGUUAGUGGAAGCGUCUGGAAAGGCGCGCGAUACAGGGUGACAGCCCCGUACACAAAAAUGCACAUACUGUGAGCUCGAUGAGUAGGGCGGGACACGUGGUAUCCUGUCUGAAUAUGGGGGGACCAUCCUCCAAGGCUAAAUACUCCUGACUGACCGAUAGUGAACCAGUACCGUGAGGGAAAGGCGAAAAGAACCCCGGCGAGGGGAGUGAAAAAGAACCUGAAACCGUGUACGUACAAGCAGUGGGAGCACGCUUAGGCGUGUGACUGCGUACCUUUUGUAUAAUGGGUCAGCGACUUAUAUUCUGUAGCAAGGUUAACCGAAUAGGGGAGCCGAAGGGAAACCGAGUCUUAACUGGGCGUUAAGUUGCAGGGUAUAGACCCGAAACCCGGUGAUCUAGCCAUGGGCAGGUUGAAGGUUGGGUAACACUAACUGGAGGACCGAACCGACUAAUGUUGAAAAAUUAGCGGAUGACUUGUGGCUGGGGGUGAAAGGCCAAUCAAACCGGGAGAUAGCUGGUUCUCCCCGAAAGCUAUUUAGGUAGCGCCUCGUGAAUUCAUCUCCGGGGGUAGAGCACUGUUUCGGCAAGGGGGUCAUCCCGACUUACCAACCCGAUGCAAACUGCGAAUACCGGAGAAUGUUAUCACGGGAGACACACGGCGGGUGCUAACGUCCGUCGUGAAGAGGGAAACAACCCAGACCGCCAGCUAAGGUCCCAAAGUCAUGGUUAAGUGGGAAACGAUGUGGGAAGGCCCAGACAGCCAGGAUGUUGGCUUAGAAGCAGCCAUCAUUUAAAGAAAGCGUAAUAGCUCACUGGUCGAGUCGGCCUGCGCGGAAGAUGUAACGGGGCUAAACCAUGCACCGAAGCUGCGGCAGCGACGCUGAUGCGUUGUUGGGUAGGGGAGCGUUCUGUAAGCCUGUGAAGGUGUGCUGUGAGGCAUGCUGGAGGUAUCAGA